CUACGGGGGGCAGCAGUGGGGAAUAUUGCGCAAUGGGGGAAACCCUGACGCAGCGACGCCACGUGAGGGAUGAAGGCUUUCGGGUCGUAAACCUCUGUCAGGUGGGAAGAAACGUACAAUGUCGAAUAGGCUUUGUAUCUGACGGUACCACCAGAGGAAGCACCGGCUAACUCCGUGCCAGCAGCCGCGGUAAUACGGGGGGUGCAAGCGUUAUUCGGAAUCAUUGGGCGUAAAGAGCACGUAGGCGGUUUUUUAAGUCAGAUGUGAAAGCCCGGGGCUUAACCCCGGAAGUGCAUUUGAUACUGGGAAACUUGAGUAUGGGAGAGGGAAGUGGAAUUCCUGGUGUAGAGGUGAAAUUCGUAGAUAUCAGGAGGAACACCGGUGGCGAAGGCGACUUCCUGGACCAAUACUGACGCUGAGGUGCGAAGGCGUGGGGAGCAAACAGGAUUAGAUACCCUGGUAGUC
rnacentral:rRNA from 1 species